rnacentral:lncRNA from 1 species
CUCAUCCUUUCCCAGUUCUCCAAAAAAAAUUCUCCUUCUUUCCCAAACCAAACCUUAUCUGUUCUCCUCCAUUCCCCCAAAUUGACCAGACCACCAGUCUGUCACUCGCUUCUCACUGCUGCCAACCGCUGGUCGCCGGUCUUGCCAACUCUCGCCGCCCUCUGCAGUGAGGGCCCUCCAGGCCUCCACGCCAGGUGCCGGGUGUUGGCUGCUGGUGCUUCUCCUUCUCUCACUGCUUCUCCGCUCACGCUGCAUGCUGCCGUGCAGUGGACCGCUGAUGCUGCCGCCGGCUAGUAAACUAAACAGUGAACUGUUGUUGAAGCGUCGAAGGAGCAAGACUGCUGCAAGAGCAAAGGUAUUUUUUCAAAUUAAUUAAAGGAAAAGGAUUCAAUGAUGUUCUUCAUAGACUUGCGUAAUGUUUUGAUUGCCAUGUAAUUUUUUAAGUUAUGUAUUGUGUGCCAAAUCUCGAUAGCCUAACCAUCUAUGAUUUUUGUGCUAUGUACAUCAGUAAUGAAGUACAAUUUCAGAUCCAUCAUUCAUUCAUGCUUUUCGGGCUAUGCUUUUUUAGUAGUAUCGGACAGUCAGCCGUCUUCUGAUUCAGAAAAGAGGUGACAGUGAUUUUGAAUUUUUGGCUCAGGUAACAACCAUGGUCUAGGAGAGCAUAUCUGUAGUUAUUGGUUGUAGGCAUCUUUUGGUCAGUCCGGUGUGUUCUACAGUUGUGGCUAUGGAGCACUUUUGGCCAGUUCGGUGUAUUCUACAGUUGUGGUUAUGGAGCACUGGAUAACAGUAGUAAUUAUCCACAAGACCAGGUAUGUUGGUGUUCCAUUCUCAUAAUUACAGAUAACACUAUAUUUGCUAGGUUAAUUAAGUAAGGUACAUACCCUUGCCUUGAGGCGGAAGGGAGUGGGGUGGGUACAACAUCGAUAACAUGUGAGGUGGCGAUGAGCCCGGCCAGAUGGCUCAUCGUUCCACGGUAGAAGAACAACGGAGCAGGCGCAAAGAAUCUUCAGCAAUAACAGAAAACAAAAAUUACAAUUUUUCAGCUAGACAACACACCAGAACUAUCUCAAUCAUGAACUGACAUCUAAAACACCAGAAACUGAAGAACGUUAUAGCAGCACAAAUCUUCAUCUUCAUAAGAAAAUCAAUCUUAAAUUAGGCAAGGGCAUUGAUAUGCAAAUUUGAGAUAGAAAAAUGUUUAUUUUCCUAGGUAAUAACUCGCAACUGGUCUACGAAUACACUGAAUAAAAAGAUAUGUAGAUUAAACAUGAUAUCCUACUGAUAGAAACGAAUGGAGUUUUGUUCUUGGUUGAAAUCUGCAAGGAGGUACUCCCUCCGUCCGAAAAUACUUGUCAUCAAAAUAGAUAAAAAGGGAUGUAUCUAGAACGAAAAUACAUCUAAAUACAUCCCCUUUUAUUCAUUUUGAUGACAAGUAUUUCCGAACGGAGGGAGUAGUACCUAAAGGCUAAAGGACUCCUCAGCUAGAGGCCACACAAGUAAAGGUAGCCCCUGACAAAGAGCUCAUGCUCUUGUAUAUCUGUUCAGUUUGUGCACAACAUCAAAGCAAUUUGUAAGGUGAUCCUCUCGGGCCAUGUAGUAUGGUUUGCUUACAGUUUUAGCAAAGCUCUCAUAGAUGAUGAAUAAGCAUUAGGUUCUGGGGCAAAAAUGUCUUAAUAUAUAUUCUGAAUAAAUUGUAUCAAUUAAGUUAACUCCAUUAUGUAGGGAUGGAAAAUCAAGCAAAAUGCAGUAGAAAAUGUAUAUUUUACAUAAUUUAACAAGAGUUUCCACAUUUGCCUUCAGAGGCUUGAAAUUACUAAACAAAUCAGAGGAAAAAAUGGGAAGAUCUACAUCGCUUAUUUUAGCAGAUCUAGAUUAUAAGGUGCAAAGGUAUGUUCCAGAGAAUAGCAGUCCUGAAGAACACAGAUGGCCCAAAAUCAAUUGCCUUUAGAGAACUCUUCUUAUUUGUGUGUAACUUGUCUAGUUUAAGGUCCUGAUGGAUGACACCAUUCCUAAUGGCACAUCUGUCAUAAUAUAUAAUAAAAAGAAUAUGUGUCAGAUGUCACAAAACAACCCAAUAUUGGAAGAAACACUUGUGGAACAAAAAUCUGGACUGAAGGUAACAAUCAAUGGUGGAACCCUAUGUAGUUUUCAAUGACAUGACAAAUUUACAUAAUUCUCGGAGAAGCAUGUAGCAUAUUUUGUAUCUCUGGAGUUCAACAUGGCAAUAUUUUGUAUCUACAAUACUUUGUUUCAUCAUGUGUUUUAAAGGUCAGGAACUACCCAUGGUUUGCUGGGGUAGUGAAGGCUGUGGUUUUUUCGAAGGUGGUCCAGGAUAUUCCUAUGAACUGAACAUUAAACAGAUUGGAAAUGAGAAAACACUUGCCACUGCUCGCUCCUGGCAUCGUCCACAACCCUUCCUCAGCUGAAAAGAAUGACAUAAACGUUCAAAAAAAUUUGAGCUCUAAACUCAGUGCAUUUAUUGAAAUCAGACCGCCAAACAUAAUAGCAAAUACAAAUAAAAGUCGAUGCGAGCUCCAGACCUACCGUCAAAAAGAUAUCAGAUAGCUAAUGAAAUUAAGGAUCAUUCUUCAACACAGAUCGGAAUUUUUUUAUUAUUGCUCCUUGAAUUCCUAACUCCUAAGCUCGAGAACGCUCAAAUGCUUCUAUAAAAGCUUUAGACCACCAAUAACAUCAUAAACCAUGUAUGUAGGCAUUGCUCGAAAAAAUCAGUAAAAUAAGCAAACAAAAUCUCAGUUAACCACCUUGUACACAAAACAAAGGACAUUUAAAUUCCGAAACCUGAAGAUAUGCUACAGGAGCACAGGUAUGUUUGAUAGAAACUAAUGUACAUGUAUAUGCAUGAUUACUAAAUAUGGCAAGCCUUAGUUUCGUUUGGAGGAAGUGGUUUGCUUAAGGUCAUUCAUCCUUCCCACUUUACUUAUACAAGUGUGACAACAAAACCAUUACAACACAAGGCAACAAUACAUAUUAUGUGGUAGCAGGAAUAGGAACUUGGGUGUAUUUUAGUUCAGAGAUAUAGAAGUGAUAAGUGAUCUAGUUUAGGGCACAUACUCCCUCCGUUUCUUUUUACUCCGCGUAUAAGUUUUGGUCAAAGUCAAACUACACAAAGUUUGACCAAAUUUAUAUUAAAACAUAUAAACAUCUACAAUACUCAAACUAUAUAAUAUGAAAAUACAUUUGAUGGUGAAUCUGAAAAUGUUGAUUUCAUAUUGUGAAUGUUGAUAUAUUUUUAAUAUAAAGCUAGUCAACUAUGCAAAGCUUGACUUUGACCAAACCUUAUAUGCAGACUAAAAAGAAAUGGAGGGAGUACCAACAAGUAGUUACAAGAGAAAACAUUUGUUCACAGUAAGUUAGUAACCCUAAAGGAUCUACCUACUCGGAGAAAUUCAUAAGAACAAAACUGCAUAUACAGUAAAACACAAUGAGCUUUGAAUCAAAGUAUAACUAUUUGAAAAUCUUUGGAGAAGAUCAAACAAUACAUCCUUGCAUCACUACUCGGGGUCACUAACGGAGGCGCCAAUUCCUUCGAGCAGGGGAAAGGGGAAUUGAAGGUGCCAAGCACAAGAACUGGAAGGGGGGGGAUGAAAACCUCAAACCCUACCAUUUGAAGAGCAGAGGAUAUAUAUUUAGGCACUCACAGAAAUAAUCACCGGAGGGCAUGUACAGAUACAAGUAGGUGGUGGCAUCGCCGUCUCAGCUUGGUUGUCCAAG